AGAGUUUGAUCCUGGCUCAGAACGAACGCUGGCGGCGUGCUUAACACAUGCAAGUCGAGUGCGCGUUUCUGUAGCAAUACAGGAAUGGCGCACGGCGCACGGGUGCGUAACACGUGGGUAAUCUGCCCUCCGAUGGGGAAUAACCCCGCGAAAGCGGGGCUAAUUCCGCAUAACAUUCCUUGGACUCCGGUUCGAGGAUUCAAAGGCGUAAGUCGUCGGAGGUGGAACCCGCGCCCGAUUAGCUAGUUGGUGAGGUAACGGCUCACCAAGGCAAUGAUCGGUAGCUGGUCUGAGAGGAUGGCCAGCCACACUGGAACUGAGACACGGUCCAGACUCCUACGGAAGGCAGCAGUGGGGAAUCUUGCACAAUGGGCGAAAGCCUGAUGCAGCGACGCCGCGUGGGGGAUGAAGCUUCUCGGAGUGUAAACCCCUUUCGACCCGGACGAAUGCCCCGCGAGGGGAGUGACGGUACGGGUAUAAGAAGCCCCGGCUAACUACGUGCCAGCAGCCGCGGUAAGACGUGGGGGGCCAGCGUUGUUCGGAAUUACUGGGUGUAAAGGGUUCGUAGGCGGUGUGGCAAGUUGGGAGUGAAAUCUCUGGGCUCAACUCAGAGGCUGCUUCCAAAACUGCUGUGCUAGAGUGUGGGAGAGGCGCGUGGAAUUGCAGGUGUAGCGGUGAAAUGCGUAGAUAUCUGCAGGAACACCCGUGGCGAAAGCGGCGCGCUGGACCACUACUGACGCUGAGGAACGAAAGCUAGGGGAGCAAACAGGAUUAGAUACCCUGGUAGUCCUAGCCCUAAACGAUCAGGACUUGGGGUGCCACCCGUUCGGGUGUCGUCCCGGAGCUAACGCGUUAAGUCCUGCACCUGGGGAGUACGGUCGCAAGACUGAAACUCAAAGGAAUUGACG
rnacentral:rRNA from 1 species